rnacentral:piRNA from 1 species
UGGAAACAUAACAGAAAGGUGCUCAGUGA